GGGAAGAACAAGUGCAAGAGUAACUGCUUGCACCUUGACGGUACCUAACCAGAAAGCCACGGCUAACUACGUGCCAGCAGCCGCGGUAAUACGUAGGUGGCAAGCGUUGUCCGGAAUUAUUGGGCGUAAAGGGCUCGCAGGCGGUUUCUUAAGUCUGAUGUGAAAGCCCCCGGCUCAACCGGGGAGGGUCAUUGGAAACUGGGAAACUUGAGUGCAGAAGAGGAGAGUGGAAUUCCACGUGUAGCGGUGAAAUGCGUAGAGAUGUGGAGGAACACCAGUGGCGAAGGCGACUCUCUGGUCUGUAACUGACGCUGAGGAGCGAAAGCGUGGGGAGCGAACAGGAUUAGAUACCCUGGUAGUCCACGCCGUAAACGAUGAGUGCUAAGUGUUAGGGGGUUUCCGCCCCUUAGUGCUGCAGCUAACGCAUUAAGCACUCCGCCUG
rnacentral:rRNA from 1 species